CAGCCGCCGCGGUAAUACGUAGGGUGCGAGCGUUAAUCGGAAUUACUGGGCGUAAAGCGUGCGCAGGCUGUUCUGUAAGUCAGAUGUGAAAUCCCCGAGCUCAACUUGGGAACUGCGUUUGAAACUACAGGACUAGAAUAUGUCAGAGGGGGGUAGAAUUCCACGUGUAGCAGUGAAAUGCGUAGAGAUGUGGAGGAAUACCAAUGGCGAAGGCAGCCCCCUGGGAUAAUAUUGACGCUCAUGCACGAAAGCGUGGGGAGCAAACAGG
rnacentral:rRNA from 1 species